GACCUUGUGGAAGUCGGAGUCUCUUUAAUUAACCUAACACCGUAACAGCUUCAGGGAAAGGGAGAGUUCCAAGUCAAGAAUUCUGUGUAUUACCCAAGUAUUGAAAGUAAGCUUGACCACUAUGGGACAGACACCAAAGGGCCUGCUGGCUGAUGGGGAACAGGCCUGCGGGAGCUCUGUGGAGCGACGGAACGUUCUGCAUCAUGUUUGGGUGGUUACACUGGUGGGUGCAACUGUGAAAACUCACCCAGCUGAGCAGUUGAGAACUGUGCAUAUUAUCUUGUGUGGACUACACCUCAAAAAACCAUGGAACACAGGCGAGUCCUGGUCUCUGAGAGCUGCACCCAAAUUCUUUAAGUCUAACUGGUGUGAUGGAUGGACAUGGAGUCUGAGGUUUGCUGCAAAGUGAAGGUAGAUGCACGGCUGCUGGUGUUUCCCCGAGACAAGCCCAGGCCGCCCACCGCGAGUUUCGAGUUCCGUGGUGUGUCCGUGAUGCUCCUCCCACCUGGAUGUGGCCUCGUCCCUCCCCCUAAAUCGCUCUUGUAACCAUCAGAAUGUGGCAGAGGUGACUUCUGAGGCUGGGCCAGGACAGGCUCAUUGGAAGGCUCGCUGGGGGCUGGAGCCUGGAGCCCGGAGCCCCGAGCUGCCCCCUGGUGGAGGUGCUGCAGUCAGCGGUCCCAUCCCUGAGCCCUCCAGCCAGAGUCAAGCAGAAGCCAGUGUCGGUCAGCAGCCCUGUGAGUGGCCACCUUGAAUGUCCUGCAAGGAGAAUCAUUCCAUACGCAAUUUUUAAUCAACACAUAUUACUUUAAAUUAAAUAUUCUUAACCCUUUAAGUAGUUGCAAUAUAUGAAACACUUGUAUAAAACAAUGUGAAAAAAUAAAUUCCCCACUUGAAACUAAAUGGAGAAUAGGAUGA